AUUGAACGCUGGCGGCAGGCCUAACACAUGCAAGUCGAACGAGUGGCGGACGGGUGAGUAAUGUCUGGGAAACUGCCCGAUGGAGGGGGAUAACUACUGGAAACGGUAGCUAAUACCGCAUACCAUCGGAUGUGCCCCGAUGGGAUUAGCUUGUAGGUGAGGUAACGGCUCACCUAGGCGACGAUCCCUAGCUGGUCUGAGAGGAUGACCAGCGAAAGUGGAAAGGAGACACGGUCGAGAAGCGUACGGGAGGCAGCAUUGGGGAAUAUUGCAAAAGGGGCGCAAGACUGAUGCAGCCAUGCCGCGUGUAUGAAGAAGGCCUUCGGGUUUGAAAGUACUUUCAGCGGGGAGGCGUUACCCGCAGAAGAAGCACAGGCUAACUCAGUGCCAGCAGCCGCGGUAAUAC
rnacentral:rRNA from 1 species